GAUGAACGCUGGCGGCGUGCCUAAUACAUGCAAGUCGAGCGAACAGACGAGGAGCUUGCUCCUUUGACGUUAGCGGCGGACGGGUGAGUAACACGUGGGUAACCUACCUAUAAGACUGGGAUAACUUCGGGAAACCGGAGCUAAUACCGGAUAAUAUUUCGAACCGCAUGGUUCGAUAGUGAAAGAUGGCUUUGCUAUCACUUAUAGAUGGACCUGCGCCGUAUUAGCUAGUUGGUAAGGUAACGGCUUACCAAGGCAACGACACGUAGCCGACCUGAGAGGGUGAUCGGCCACACUGGAACUGAGGCACGGUCCAGACUCCUACGGGAGGCAGCAGUAGGGAAUCUUCCGCGAGGGGCGAGAGCCUGACGGAGCAACGCCGCGUGAGUGAUGAAGGUCUUCGGAUCGUAAAACUCUGUUAUUAGGGAAGAACAAACGUGUAAGUAACUGUGCACGUCUUGACGGUACCUAAUCAGAAAGCCACGGCUAACUACGUG
rnacentral:rRNA from 1 species